UGGGGAAUUUUGGACAAUGGGCGAAAGCCUGAUCCAGCAAUGCCGCGUGUGUGAAGAAGGCCUUCGGGUUGUAAAGCACUUUUGUCCGGAAAGAAAUCCUUGGCUCUAAUACAGUCGGGGGAUGACGGUACCGGAAGAAUAAGCACCGGCUAACUACGUGCCAGCAGCCGCGGUAAUACGUAGGGUGCAAGCGUUAAUCGGAAUUACUGGGCGUAAAGCGUGCGCAGGCGGUUUGCUAAGACCGAUGUGAAAUCCCCGGGCUCAACCUGGGAACUGCAUUGGUGACUGGCAGGCUAGAGUAUGGCAGAGGGGGGUAGAAUUCCACGUGUAGCAGUGAAAUGCGUAGAGAUGUGGAGGAAUACCGAUGGCGAAGGCAGCCCCCUGGGCCAAUACUGACGCUCAUGCACGAAAGCGUGGGGAGCAAACAGGAUUAGAUACCCUGGUAGUCCAGCGCCCUAAACGAUGUCAACUAGUUGUUGGGGAUUCAUUCCUUAGUAACGUAGCUAACGCGUGAAGUUGACCGCCUGGGGAGUACGGUCGCAAGAUUAAAACUCAAAUGAAUUGAC
rnacentral:rRNA from 1 species